rnacentral:rRNA from 1 species
AACGAACGCUGGCGGCAGGCUUAACACAUGCAAGUCGAGCGCCCCGCAAGGGGAGCGGCAGACGGGUGAGUAACGCGUGGGAAUCUACCCAUCUCUACGGAAUAACGCAUGGAAACGUGUGCUAAUACCGUAUACGUCCUUCGGGAGAAAGAUUUAUCGGAGAUGGAUGAGCCCGCGUUGGAUUAGCUAGUUGGUGGGGUAAAGGCCUACCAAGGCGACGAUCCAUAGCUGGUCUGAGAGGAUGAUCAGCCACACUGGGACUGAGACACGGCCCAGACUCUUACGGGAGGCAGCAGUGGGGAAUAUUGGACAAUGGGCGCAAGCCUCAUCCAGCCAUGCCGCGUGAGUGAUGAAGGCCCUAGGGUUGUAAAGCUCUUUCACCGGUGAAGAUAAUGACGGUAACCGGAGAAGAAGCCCCGGCUAACUUCGUGCCAGCAGCCGCCGUAAGAC